rnacentral:rRNA from 1 species
UACGUAGGGGCCGAGCGUUGUCCGGAUUCAUUGGGCGUAAAGAGCGUGUAGGCGGCCGCUUAAGUCCUGCGUGAAAUCUCGGAGCUCAACUCCGAGCGGUCGUGGGAAACUGGGCGGCUAGAGUGCGGGAGAGGAGAGUGGAAUUCCUGGUGUAGCGGUGGAAUGCGCAGAUAUCAGGAAGAACACCCGUGGCGAAGGCGAGUCUCUGGACAUUUCCUGACGCUGAGGCACGAAAGCCAGGGGAGCAAACGGG